rnacentral:rRNA from 1 species
AGCAAUACGUUAGUGGCGCACGGGUGAGUAACACGUGGGAACCUAUCUUUCGGUUCGGAAAAACGGAGGGAAACUUCCGCUAAUACCGUAUACGCCCUUAGGGGGAAAGAUUUAUCGCCGAUUGAGGGGCCCGCGUCUGAUUAGCUAGUUGGUGAGGUAAAGGCUCACCAAGGCGACGAUCAGUAGCUGGUCUGAGGGGACGAUCAGCCACACUGGGACUGAGACACGGCCCAGACUCCUACGGGAGGCAGCAGUGGGGAAUAUUGGACAAUGGGGGCAACCCUGAUCCAGCCAUGCCGCGUGAGUGAUGAAGGCCUUCGGGUUGUAAAGCUCUUUCGCACGCGACGAUGAUGACGGUAGCGUGAGAAGAAGCCCCGGCUAACUUCGUGCCAGCAGCCGCGGUAAUACGAAGGGGGCUAGCGUUGUUCGGAUUUACUGGGCGUAAAGCGCACGCAGGCGGUCUUUUUAG